UCCGGCUUAUCACCGGCAGUUUCCUCAGAGUGCUCAGCUUAACCUGGUAGCAACAGAGGACGAGGGUUGCGCUCGUUGCGGGACUUAACCCAACAUCUCACGACACGAGCUGACGACAGCCAUGCAGCACCUGUGUUCCCCCCACCCGAAGUGAAGGACUCUCUUUCAAGAGUCCAAAAGGGACAUGUCGAAUCCUGGUAAGGUUCUUCGCGUUGCCUCGAAUUAAACCACAUGUUCCACCGCUUGUGCGGGUCCCCGUCAAUUUCUUUGAGUUUUAAUCUUGCGACCGUACUCCCCAGGCGGGGUGCUUAACGCGUUAGCUGCGCUACUUAGGGGUAACCCCCAAACAGCUAGCACCCAUCGUUUACAGCACGGACUAC
rnacentral:misc_RNA from 1 species